CAGGUUCCAACCCUGGGGUAGAUUGCAAGGUCGCAGGGCAGGGCUGCAGUUCCCUCCUCACUGAGUCAGCACAGCCAAGGCCACCAGAGCUGAGAGACACCAUCAGGCAGGAACACACAGAGACAGUACUCUUGAAGAUGCUCUCCGGCUCUAGAAAGGAGACCAUCAAGCUGCCCUGAGCUUCCCGAAGGACUCCUGAUGCGACUGACAGCUAUGAAGGAGACUGCACAGCAGGCUCUGAGAUCCCCUGGCUGGUGGGUUUAAUCGAUGCUGGAGAAUAACUGGAGAAUCUACAGCUGGUGUCUUUGCCUGAUGAAGAUGUAGAACUCAGCUCCUCCAGCCCCUUGCCUGCCUGAAUGCUGAGAUGCUGCCAUGAUCCCGCCUUGAUGAUGAUGGACUGAACCUCUGAACUUGUAAGGCAGCUCCAAUGAAAUUUUGUCCUUUAUAAAACUCGCAUUGGUCAUGGUGUCUUUCCAUGGCAGUAAAACCCCUAACUAAGACCGAUGGGUUUCAUUAACACUUCCAAGCCUGGGCAUUUUGACCCAAGCAGAUGCAGAUUCUGUCCAGGCGUCCUACUGUGUGCCUCUGUGCCCAGCAGAAAAGGAAGAGAAAUGGGUUCUUCCACUUGAGGUGACAAAUUUCUGUUUUUGUUUCUGUUUUUCUUUUUAAUGUUUAUUAUUUUCCAGCCCCAACAUGAGCCCUGGGAAUAUAAGAUGAAUGUCAUGUCGUCCCUUCCUGAAGAGGCUGAAGGGAGCAAGGUGAACCCAAUGUGCACAGAACAAAUGCACUUUGCCCAGGUCUUCAGGCUGUCACUGCACUCUGGCGUGCACUUUCUGUUUUGAUGAGUCACUGCAGGUUUCCUUUUCCCCCUAUAUUUCUUUGAGGAGGCAGGUGCAAUUUAAUAUUUGUCCAUUUAAAAUGUUUCAUUGUUUAUAACAAAUAAAAAUCACACACAUUUACAAUGUCUCACCAAAUGUAUCGUUUUUUGUAAUAAGAACCCUUUAACAAUGUAGCCAUCUUGAAGGAGGCAAACUGCUGAGUGGGUAGAAGGCUCCGCUGUUAGGAACACGGGCUGCUCUUCCAGAGGGCAUCUCAGGAGCAUCUGGGAUUUCAGCCUAAGAGAUCUGACACCCUCUCCUGGCUCCCUCAGGCACCAGGCAUUCAUGCGGUGUACGGACGUACAGAUCCACACCCCCUCUGUUUCCUCCAGAAAAGAGCAGGCUUCCAAGAGACAACAACCAAACAGGACAAAACAAGAUAAACACAGAAAGACAAGGCAAAAGCCCUCAUAUUGAGGGUGGAGAAGACAACACAAUAGGAGGAAAAGUUUCCCAAGAGCAGGCAGAAGAGUGAGAGACACACUCCACACCCCUGCUCCCACCAAUAGGACCGCUAUAGUUUUAGUAUCCAGCAUAUUGUUUUGAACAUAACUACAGACAUUUCUGCAGUGGAACGAAAGCAAACUCAGCCUCUUAGCUGCCUUUCUCUAGUAUCUCAUUGCAGCAACAUGAAGCAAACACUGAUGGACUUCAGCUCUCCAUUUCUGAGAUGAUGCCCGUGGAUGCUUACUGUAGCCUCCUGACCUUUGUGUUUCUGUGUGGAGCAGCAAGUUACUACCAUAUACAUCUACACAAUGGAAUAUUACUCAGCUAUCAAAAACAACGGCUUUAUGAAAUUCGUAGGCAAAUGGUUGGAACUGGAAAAUAUCAUCCUGAGUGAGCUAACCCAAACACAGAAAGACAUACAUGGUAUGCACUCACUGGGGAACAAGAAUACCCUUGGCAGGGAAGAGAAAGGCAAAGAUUAAAACAGAGACUGAAGGAACUCCCAUUCAGAGCCUGCCCCACAUGUGGCCCAUACAUAUACAGCCACCCAAUUAGACAAGAUGGAUGAAGCAAAGAAGUGCAGACCGACAGGAGCCGGAUGUAGAUCUCUCCUGAGAGACACAGCCAGAAUAUAGCAAAUACAGAGGCGAAUGCCAGCAGCAAACCACUAAACUGAGAAUAGGACCCUCGUUGAAGGAAUCAGAGAAAGAACUGGAAGAGCUUGAAGGGGCUCAAGACCCCAUAUGUACAACAAUGCCAAGCAACCAGAGCUUCCAGGGACUAAGCCACUACCUAAAGACUAUGCAUGGACUGACCCUGGACUCUGACCUCAUAGGUAGCAAUGAAUAUCCUAGUAAGAGCACCAGUGGAAGGGGAAGCCCUGGGUCCUGCUAAGACUGAACCCCCAGUGAA